rnacentral:rRNA from 1 species
UGGGGAAUCUUCCGCAAUGGACGAAAGUCUGACGGAGCAACGCCGCGUGAGUGAAGACGGCCUUCGGGUUGUAAAGCUCUGUUAUUCGGGAAGAACGAUUCGUUUGUGAACAAUGAACGGAAGUGACGGUACCGAAAGAGAAAGCCACGGCUAACUACGUGCCAGCAGCCGCGGUAAUACGUAGGUGGCAAGCGUUGUCCGGAAUUAUUGGGCGUAAAGAGCGCGUAGGCGGUAUGGUAAGUCUGUCUUAGAAGUGCGGGGCUUAACCCCGUGAGGGGACAGAGACUGUCAUACUGGAGUCUCGGAGAGGAAAGCGGAAUUCCUAGUGUAGCGGUGAAAUGCGUAGAGAUUAGGAAGAACACCGGUGGCGAAGGCGGCUUUCUGGACGAGCACUGACGCUGAGGCGCGAAAGCGUGGGGAGGGAACAGG